rnacentral:rRNA from 1 species
GGGCCUUUGGGGGCAGCUACACAUGCAGUCGAGCGGUAGGGAGGUGCUUGCACCUCUUGAGAGCGGCGGACGGGUGAGUAAUGCCUAGGAAUCUGCCUGGUAGUGGGGGAUAACGCUCGGAAACGGACGCUAAUACCGCAUACGUCCUACGGGAGAAAGCAGGGGACCUUCGGGCCUUGCGCUAUCAGAUGAGCCUAGGUCGGAUUAGCUAGUUGGUGAGGUAAUGGCUCACCAAGGCGACGAUCCGUAACUGGUCUGAGAGGAUGAUCAGUCACACUGGAACUGAGACACGGUCCAGACUCCUACGGGAGGCAGCAGUGGGGAAUAUUGGACAAUGGGCGAAAGCCUGAUCCAGCCAUGCCGCGUGUGUGAAGAAGGUCUUCGGAUUGUAAAGCACUUUAAGUUGGGAGGAAGGGCAUUAACCUAAUACGUUAGUGUUUUGACGUUACCGACAGAAUAAGCACCGGCUAACUCUGUGCCAGCAGCCGCGGUAAUACAGAGGGUGCAAGCGUUAAUCGGAAUUACUGGGCGUAAAGCGCGCGUAGGUGGUUCGUUAAGUUGGAUGUGAAAUCCCCGGGCUCAACCUGGGAACUGCAUUCAAAACUGUCGAGCUAGAGUAUGGUAGAGGGUGGUGGAAUUUCCUGUGUAGCGGUGAAAUGCGUAGAUAUAGGAAGGAACACCAGUGGCGAAGGCGACCACCUGGACUGAUACUGACACUGAGGUGCGAAAGCGUGGGGAGCAAACAGGAUUAGAUACCCUGGUAGUCCACGCCGUAAACGAUGUCAACUAGCCCGUUGGGAGCCUUGAGCUCUUCUGGCGCAGCUAACGCAUUAAGUUGACCGCCUGGGGAGUACGGCCGCAAGGUUAAACUCAAAUGAAUUGACGGGGGCCCGCACAAGCGGUGGGAGCAUGUGGGUUUAUUCGAAGCACCGCGAAAAACCUUAACAGGCCUGACAUUCAAUGUAACUUUCCAGAGAUGCAUGGUGUCUUCGGGAACAUUGAAACAGGUGCUGCAUGGCUGUCAUCCACCUCCGGUCUUGAGAUGUUGG